ACGUUGAAACACCAGCUCCCGUGCAAUCUCCCAAGUUAAGCAACAUCAAGCCUGGUCAGUACGGGUGACCGCUUGGGAAUACCAAGUGCUGUAAG